rnacentral:rRNA from 1 species
GUCCUACGGGGCGCAGCAGUGGGGGAUAUUGCACAAUGGGGGAAACCCUGAUGCAGCGACGCCGCGUGGGCGAAGAAGUAUUUCGGUAUGUAAAGCCCUAUCAGCAGGGAAGAAGAAAUGACGGUACCUGAGUAAGAAGCACCGGCUAAAUACGUGCCAGCAGCCGCGGUAAUACGUAUGGUGCAAGCGUUAUCCGGAAUCAUUGGGCGUAAAGAGUUCGUAGGCGGUAUGUUAAGUCUGGUGUUAAAUGCAGAAGCUCAACUUCUGUUCGGCACUGGAUACUGGCAAACUAGAAUGCUGUAGAG